GGGGUUGUACCUCAGUGGUCCAGGGCUUACCUAGCAUGUGCGAGGCCCUGGGUUCAAUUCUCAGCACCACA
rnacentral:tRNA from 1 species